GGCGGCUCUGGCUGAGUUGCUCUAUCUUUCUGCAAACAGUCACAUUAGUUGAUCUGGGGUAAGGUUCCAGAAUUUGCAUUUCUAAUAAAUGACUGAGGCGAGCCCUAGAAAAACAAUUUGUUUCACAUGCUGAGCGUCUUUAUGCUGAUCCUACCAAGCAGGGGUGUUUUGUGUAAAGGACUCCAUUCCACUAAACCUGGAUGCAUGCCUGUGUUGAAACAAAGAGGUGCAGGAACUGGGUAUUCUCUUUGUCUGUGACAAAGGUGGAUCCUGCCCCCAUGAAAGUGUGUGGAGCAGCCAUGUGUCCUCAGACUACAGGGAGUAUAUCUCCCAGUCUGGUUUCUUUGGAGUCCUCCGUCCAGUCCUUG
ensembl:lncRNA